UACGUAGGGAGCAAGCGUUGUCCGGAUUUAUUGGGCGUAAAGAGCUCGUAGGCGGCUUAGAAAGUCAGGUGUGAAACCUCCAGGCUCAACCUGGAGACGCCACUUGAUACUUCUAUGGCUUGAGUUCGGUAGGGGAACACGGAAUUCCUGGUGUAGCGGUGAAAUGCGCAGAUAUCAGGAGGAACACCGAUGGCGAAGGCAGUGUUCUGGGCCGAUACUGACGCUGAGGAGCGAAAGCGUGGGGAGCGAACAGG
rnacentral:rRNA from 1 species